AACAGUUGGAAACGACUGCUAAUACCGCAUAAGCCCACGGGUCGGCAUCGACCAGAGGGAAAAGGAGUGAUCCGCUUUGAGAUGGCCUCGCGUCCGAUUAGCUAGUUGGUGAGGUAACGGCCCACCAAGGCGACGAUCGGUAGCCGGACUGAGAGGUUGAACGGCCGCAUUGGGACUGAGACACGGCCCAGACUCCUACGGGAGGCAGCAGUGGGGAAUAUUGCACAAUGGGGGAAACCCUGAUGCAGCGACGCCGCGUGGGGGAAGAAGGUCUUCGGAUUGUAAACUCCUGUUGUUGGGGAAGAUAAUGACGGUACCCAACAAGGAAGUGACGG
rnacentral:rRNA from 1 species